rnacentral:rRNA from 1 species
GCCUGUUUAUCAAAAACAUCGCUCCCUGUUACAAAGAAAUAAGGAGUCGGACCUGCCCAGUGAAUAUUUUCAACGGCCGCGGUACUCUGACCGUGCAAAGGUAGCAUAAUCAUUUGCCUUAUAAUUGAAGGCUAGUAUGAAUGGUUUGACGAGAAUAUAGCUGUCUCUUUCUAAUUAUUUAGAAAUUUAUUUUCAGGUGCAGAAGCCUGAAUUUGAUUAAAAGACAAGAAGACCCUAUCGAGCUUGAAACAAAUUAAUGGAAUUAAAAAAAUAGAUUUUAAAAUUACUUACCAUUAAAUAUUUUGGUUGGGGCGACUGAGGAACAAAUAAAGCUUCCUUGAAUUAAAUAUAAAAUUCACUAAUAUUGAUCCAAAAUUUUUGAUUAAUGGAAUUAGUUACCGUAGGGAUAACAGCAUUAUCUUUUUUGAGAGCUCUAAUCGAAAAAAAGGUUUGUGACCUCGAUGUUGGACCAGAAUAUCCAGAAGGUGCAGCAGCUUUCAAGGGUUGGUCUGUUCGACCAUUAAAAUUCUACGUGAUCUGAGUUCA